UACGUAGGGUGCAAGCGUUGUUCGGAAUUACUGGGCGUAAAGGGCGCGUAGGCGGGCUUGUAAGUUAGUUGUGAAAUCCCCGGGCUUAACCCGGGACGUGCAACUAAAACUGUGAGUCUUGAGUAUUGGAGAGGAUGGCGGAAUUGCAGGUGUAGAAGUGAAAUUCGUAGAUAUCUGCAAGAACACCGGAGGCGAAGGCGGCUGUCUGGCCAAAUACUGACGCUGAGGCGCGAAAGCUAGGGGAGCAAACGGG
rnacentral:rRNA from 1 species